UGGCGGACGGGUGAGUAACGCGUGGGUAACCGUGCCUCAUACAGGGGGAUAACAGUUGGAAACGGCUGCUAAUACCGCAUAAGCGCACAGUACCGCAUGGUACGGUGUGAAAAACUCCGGUGGUAUGAGAUGGACCCGCGUCUGAUUAGGUAGUUGGUGGGGUAACGGCCUACCAAGCCGACGAUCAGUAGCCGACCUGAGAGGGUGACCGGCCACAUUGGGACUGAGACACGGCCCAA
rnacentral:rRNA from 1 species